rnacentral:rRNA from 1 species
UACGGAGGGUGCGAGCGUUGUCCGGAAUUAUUGGGCGUAAAGAGCUCGUAGGCGGUCUGUCGCGUCGGAUGUGAAAAUCCAGGGCUCAACCCUGGACCUGCAUUCGAUACGGGCAGACUAGAGUUCGGUAGGGGAGACUGGAAUUCCUGGUGUAGCGGUGAAAUGCGCAGAUAUCAGGAGGAACACCGAUAGCGAAGGCAGCUCGCUGGGACGGUACUGACGCUGAGGUGCGAAAGCGUGGGGAGCGAACAGG